CUCCUUUUACUUCCAAGUAGUUGAAGAUCAGUUCCACCACCAUUGUUCUUUUGGCAAUAAUUAUUUGAAAAAAGGUACUAGGGAGGAUUACACAGCCACAGCAAAGUGAGCCAUCAGGAAGGGCAAAAAAAUUGACAAUGUGCCAUCUGAAAUGAUCAAGUUGUCAAGGAUGACAAUGAUAUAAAAUCCCCUGUUACUGAGGAUGAACCAGAAUAGUACCAAAGGGCUAAAUAUGAGCCAGAUUUGAUUUGUCAACGGGUUGCUUUUAUUUUGACAACAUCUCAGUGAAAUUGUCACAUCUGUCGAAAUUGUUGGAAAAUUAGAUGUAGCAAAGAACUCCAAACAAUCUUAUUUUUCUAUUAUGGGUUUGUUGGGAUUUUCCUACAAUGAAUCAUCAUCAAAGAGCAACAAUGAAGUGUCAUAACAAUCAGAAAGAUACCAUCUGUUGAAGAAAGGUGAGAUAAAGAAGACUAUCUAUAGUUCUAGAAGGGUGUUAUGAAGAUUGUAUGAGCUUCACUUGUGAAGUAGUACAUGUUGAAAAGCCAAUGGAAGCAUCUGGCAUAAAAAGG